GACGAACGCUGGCGGCGUGCCUAACACAUGCAAGUCAACUUGAGGGAAGGAGCAAUCUGACUUGAUGGUGGCGCAAGGGUGCGUAACGCGUAAGUAACUUGCCCAAGGUAAGGAAUAACGUCGAGAAAUCGGCGCUAAUACCUCAUAAUGCAGCGGAUCCGCAUGGAUAUGUUGUUAAAGGUUUACCGCCUUGGGAUAGGCUUGCGUCUGAUUAGCUAGUUGGUGUGGUAAUGGCACACCAAGGCUACGAUCAGUAACUGGUCUGAGAGGAUGAUCAGUCACACUGGAACUGAGACACGGUCCAGACUCCUACGGGAGGCAGCAGUGAGGAAUAUUGGGCAAUGCACGAAAGUGUGACCCAGCAACGCCGCGUGGAGGAUGAAGGUAUUCUAUAUCGUAAACUCCUGUGAGAGCAGACGAAAGACAGAUUAUAAUUGGAUGACUGUAUGCUCAGAGGAAGCCCCGG
rnacentral:rRNA from 1 species